rnacentral:rRNA from 1 species
AUUGAACGCUGGCGGCAGGCCUAACACAUGCAAGUCGAACGAGUGGCGGACGGGUGAGUAAUGUCUGGGAAACUGCCCGAUGGAGGGGGAUAACUACUGGAAACGGUAGCUAAUACCGCAUACCAUCGGAUGUGCCCAGAUGGGAUUAGCUAGUGGGUGGGGAAAAGGCUCACCUAGGCGACGAUCCCUAGCUGGUCUGAGAGGAUGACCAGCCACACUGGAACUGAGACACGGCCCAGACUCCUACGGGAGGCAGCAGUGGGGAAUAUUCGGCAAUGGGCGAAAGCCUGAUGGAGCCAUGCCGCGUGUGUGAAGAAGGCCUUCGGGUUGUAAAGUACUGUCAGCGGGGAGGCGUUACCCGCAGAAGAAGCCCCGGCUAACUCCGUGCCAGCCGCCGCGGUAAUUC